rnacentral:lncRNA from 1 species
CAUGUUCACAAGGUCCCUUGCUGUUGUUCUGGGAUUGAUUUGCACUUUUCGCACCAAAGUACGUUCAUCUCUAGGAGACAGAAUGCGUCUCCUUCCUGAGCGCUAUGACAGCUGCGCAGUCCCAUGGUGUAUAUACUCGUGUACUAUUGUUUGUACAGAUGAAUGUGGUACCUUCAGGCGUUUGGAAAUUGCUCCCAAGGAUGAACCAGACUUGUGGAGGUCUACAAUUUUUUUUCUGAGGUCUUGGCUGAUUUCUUUAGAUUUCUUCAUGAUGUCAAGCAAAGAGGCACUGAGUUUGAAGGUAGUCCUUGAAAUACAUCCACAGGUACACCUCCAAUAGGCUAAUUGACAUCAUUUGAGUCAAUCAGAAGCUUCUAAAGCCAUGACAUAAUUUUCAGGAAUUUUCCAAGCUGUUUAAAGGCACAGUCAACUUAGUGUAUGUAAACUUCUGACCCACUGGAAUUGUGAUACAGCUCAGCAUUCAACACUAUUGUCCCCUCCAAGCUCAUCACCAAGCUUGGGACCCAGGGACUGAACACCUCCCUCUGCAACUGGAUCCUGGACUACCUGAUGGCCGCACCCAGCUGGUAAGGUUUGCUGAUGACACGGCGGUGGUGGGCCUGAUUACCGACAGUGAUGAGACUGCCUACAGAGAGGAGGUCAGAUACCUGGCAGUGUGGUGCCAGGACAGCAAUCUCCACCUUAACUUCAGCAAGACCAAGGAGCUGAUUGUGGAAUGCAGGAAAAAAGUGGGGGUGCACACCACUCACACUAACAGAGUGGAGAUGAGAGGGUCAAGCGCUUUAAGUUCCUCUGUGUCCCAACCACUGAUAUCUUAACAUGGUCCUCUCACACCGGCACAGUCAUGAAGAAGGCGUGACACCGCCUCUUCACCCUCAGAAGGCUAAAGAGAUUUAGCAAGGCCCUUCAGAUCUUCAAGAACUUCUACAUAUGCACCAUUGAGAGCAUCUUGACUGGCUGCAUCAUUUCCUGGUAUGGCAACUGCACCGCCCUCGACCGCAAGGACCUACAGAGUGUGGUGCGGAUGACCCAGCACAUCACUGGGGACGAGCUCCGACCCAUUCAGGACAUACACACCAAGCAGUGUCUGAUGAAGGCCUGAAGCAUUACCAACAACUCCAGUCACCCCUGUCAUAAACUGUUCUCUCUGCUUCCGUCCGGUAGGCGGUACCAAAGUAUCAGGUCUCGGACCAACAGGCUCUGAGACAGCUUCUACCCCCAUGCAAUGAGACGUUUAAACAGAUAGACAAUUAUUUAUUUAUUUAUUUUUUAUUUCACCUUUAUUUAACCAGGUAGGCAAGUUGAGAACAAGUUCUCAUUUACAACUGCGACCUGGCCAAGAUAAAGCAAAGCAGUUCGACACAUACAACAACACAGAGUUACACAUGGAGUAAAACAAACAUACAGUCAAUAAUACAGUAGAAAAAUAAGUCUAUAUACAAUGUGAGCAAAUGAGGUGAGAUAAGGGAUGUAAAGGCAAAAAAGGCCAAGGUGGCAAAGUAAAUACAAUAUAGCAAGUAAAACACUGGAAUUGAAGAUUUGUAGUGGAAGAAAGUGCAAAGUAGAAAUAGAAAUAAUAGGGUGCAAAGGAGCAAAAUAAAUAAAUAAAUACAGUAGGGGAACAGGUAAUUGUUUGGGCUAAAUUAUAGAUGGGCUAUGUACAGGUGCAGUGAUAUGUGAGCUGCUCUGACAGCUGGUGCUUAAAGCUAGUGAGGGAAAUAAGUGUUUCCAGUUUAUUUUUUAAUUUUUUUCCAGAUGCCCACCCCCACCAAGGACUAUAUGCACUGACUAUAUGCAUACUCACAGGUCUCUACCCACACACACACCUACACUGACACUCUUGCACACACACACACACAUUAACACCCACACUCAUGUGCCUUCAGAAAGUAUUCUGACCCCUUGACUUUUUCCACAUUUUGUUGUUUUACAGCCUGAAUUUUUAUUUUAUUUUUAUGUAGCUUUUUGUAACUG